GACGAACGCUGGCGGCGUGCCUAAUACAUGCAAGUCGAACGCAGUGGGGACGGGUGAGUAACACGUGGGUAACCUCCCAUCAGAGGGGAUAACACUUGGAAACAGGUGCUAAACCGAUACUGAUGGAUGAACCCGCGGUGCAUUAGCUAGUUGGUUAGGUAACGGCUCACCAAGGCCACGAUGCAUGGCCUACCUGUGAGGGUAAUAGGCAACACUGGGACGUGGACAGGGCCCAGACUCCUACGGGAGGCAGAAGUGGGGAAUCUUCGGCAAUGGGAGAAAGUCUGACCGAGCAAAGCCGCGUGAGUGAAGAAGGUGUUCGGAUCGUAAAACUCUGUUGUUAGAGAAGCGGUAUCUAACCAGAAAGCCACGGCUAACUACGUGCCAGCCGCCGCGGUAAUAC
rnacentral:rRNA from 1 species